CAGAUGUAUGCCUGUGUUUGUGACUGGCUUGGAUUUCCCUAUAGAGAAGAAGUACAGUGGGAUGUCGAUACUAUUUAUCUGACACAAGAUACCAGAGAGUUGAAUUUGCAAGACUUCAGCCACCUUGACCACAGAGACUUAAUACCUAUAGUUGCUGCUCUGGAGUAUAAUCAGUGGUUUACGAAGCUGUCCUCCAAGGAUCUGAAAUUAUCCACUGAUGUCUGUGAGCAGAUACUGCGAGUGGUGAGUAGGUCCAAUCGAUUGGAAGAACUGGUAUUAGAGAAUGCCGGGCUUAGAACGUAAGUAAUUCCUUUGAA